rnacentral:ncRNA from 1 species
UCCAUGCAGACCUAGUAACCGCAAGGCGGCGAAAGCAGACAGGAAGGAGAGAAGGAGCAUAUAACCUUCCGAAAGGUAAAUAUAUGCCUUGAUAGGUCCGGGCGGACGCUUCUUGCAUGGCGGUGCUUGAUGGUAAUGCGCCGUUUCAUGCCCGUUGACCUUGCGCUGCGGUUGCAACCAUCUAUCAGCAGUACGGGGCAAGGAGAAAACUAUGACCAGUG